rnacentral:rRNA from 1 species
UUACUGCUAUCGAGGUUCGACUAAGCCAUGCGAGUCGAAUGUAGCAAUACAUGGCGUACUGCUCAGUAACACGUGGACAACCUACCCUCCGGACGGGUAUAAACCCGGGAAACUGGGUAUAAUCCCCGAUAGAUCUCGGUCGCUGGAAUGCCCCGAGAUCGAAAGCUCCGGCGCCAGAGGAUGGGUCUGCGGCCUAUCAGGUAGUAGUGGGUGUAGCGUACCUACUAGCCUACGACGGGUACGGGUUGUGAGAGCAAGAGCCCGGAGAUGGAUUCUGAGACACGAAUCCAGGCCCUACGGGGUGCAGCAGGCGCGAAAACUUUACAAUGCCGGCAACGGCGAUAAGGGGACCUCGAGUGCCAGGUUACAAAUCUGGCUGUCGUGAUGCCUAAAAAGCAUUGCAUAGCAAGGGCCGGGCAAGACCGGUGCCAGCCGCCGCGGUAACACCGGCGGCUCGAGUGGUAACCGUUAUUAUUGGGUCUAAAGGGUCUGUAGCCGGCCGGAUAAGUCUCUUGAGAAAUCCAGCAGCUCAACUGUUGGGCUUUCAGGAGAUACUGUUCUGGCUCGAGGCCGGGAGAGGUGAGAGGUACUUCAGGGGUAGGGGUGAAAUCUUGUAAUCCUUGAAGGACCA